CUGUAGUUCUUUGGGUUUCUCCAGCAGCCAUAACACCUGCAUUGCUUUCUGCUUUUCAAGUCCCCUGUCUUUAUUUAUGUUGAGAUUGAAGUCUCUAUGAGCCCCCUGACUGUGGAAGAAACAGUUGUUGGACAGCUGGAUGAUUUCCAGCAAAGGAGAAGGCAUGAACCUGGAGUUACUACCACAUUCCAAGGACCUUCUACAGCCAUCUUCAAGAAGAAGCGAACAAACAAUUCAUUAGCCUGUGGUUCUAGUAUCCUUAACUGUUUCAACAUCAUCGACUUCCACAAGGAACUAUGGCUAUACAGUUCAGUCAUGGAGCUUGUUCAUAAAGACAGUCCCUAACAUGGGUUACAAUGAUAUGACUGCUGAGGUAUCCACAAAAACGAAAGUUGGGGAAGAGCUACAAGGUCACUGAGGUAAUGCAAAAGUUCCUGCCCUCAGCAAUGACGGGGAAUGGAGAAUGGCUAGAAGAUGGAGUGUCUUGAAAGGUUUAUGCCCUUAGAGGACAAUACAAGGUGUGUAGAACAUAUCUCUUCAUUUUCUCCUGAUCUACAUCAACACAGUACUCUAUUUCACUUUGCCAUCGCAAUCUGGACUUUGAAGUAACAGACAGGCUUAAUGAUUAUGGCUUCAAGUCAUUAGCCUGAGAAGCUCUAUGUACACUCUAGGUAGAAAAGUAGUUAUCACAACUCAAUGCACUGUCAUUUUGAGCUAUUUAAUAGCAACAUCACAAGCAGAACAUCUGCUGAUGAGCCCAGUGCAAG
rnacentral:lncRNA from 1 species